rnacentral:rRNA from 1 species
GAACGCGAAGAACCUUACCUGGUCUUGACAUGUACGGAAUCCUCCAGAGACGGAGGAGUGCCUUCGGGAGCCGUAACACAGGUGCUGCAUGGCUGUCGUCAGCUCGUGUCGUGAUAUGUUGGGUUAAGUCCCGCAACGAGCGCAACCCUUGUCAUUAGUUGCCAUCAUUUAGUUGGGCACUCUAAUGAGACUGCCGGUGACAAGCCGGAGGAAGGUGGGGAUGACGUCAAGUCCUCAUGGCCCUUAUGACCAGGGCUUCACACGUCAUACAAUGGUCGGUACAGAGGGUAGCCAAGCCGCGAGGUGGAGCCAAUCUCACAAAACCGAUCGUAGUCCGGAUUGCACUCUGCAACUCGAGUGCAUGAAGUCGGAAUCGCUAGUAAUCGCAGGUCAGCAUACUGCGGUGAAUACGUUCCCGGGUCUUGUACACACC